GAGCAGGAAAUUGAUACGACAGUAAAACAUUCCUGUAUAUUAAAGUGCAGUAAUACAUGUGUUUUAUAGCGUACCACCAAUGUCACGCUUCAAUGUUUAGUCAGCAUUCGUAUUAAAUAAAUUCACGCCGCCCGCCAGAAUGAUUGCAAUGACAUCUCGCUAAUGUAACACUGGCGGUGACAACAUUGUCUAUUUGAUAAGCGACUUCAAUAAGUCAUUCCGCAAAAAAAAAACAGCGACUUCAAUCGUGAAAUGAACUACAAGCAUCUGCUUCGAAGUCACAUUGAAAAUAUUUGGAUUUAGAACAAGAAAUCGUGUAUCAGACUUCAUGACAAGAGAUCCUGUAAUUCACAAGUUCUACAACGCAGAAUGAGUCGACAAUGUUUGAUGUGUGGAGCCGACAUUCCAACAAAUUAAUUGCCCAUGGUACAUACAUUUUGAAUAAAUAUUCAUGUCUUUUAAAUACGUCCCAUUUUGAUAAUUCAUUGUACCUACGACCAAAACAAUAUCUCAAAAUAAACAAUAUAGCCUGCCGACUUCUUUGUCUGUAUAUUUGCUUAAGAGUACGAAACUACUCCUCGUGCGAUUUUAUUGCGAUUCUCACCUUCAUUAAACUACGCAAUUUCUCUUUUCUGUAUAUAAUUUAAAAAACAAUCUAGUAUCAUAAUGUCACAAAACUACGAAAGUAAGAAAUAUAAUAGUUUGAUUUUAGAAUAA